CCUACGGGUGGCUGCAGUGGGGAAUAUUGCACAAUGGGGGAAACCCUGAUGCAGCGACGCCGCGUGAGUGAAGAAGCGUUUCGGCGCGUAAAGCUCUGUCAGCGGGGAAGAAACACGGUUCGCGAGAGCCGCGGACGGUACCCGACCAAGAAGCCCCGGCUAACUACGUGCCAGCAGCCGCGGUAAUACGUAGGGGGCAAGCGUUAUCCGGAUUCACGGGGUGUAAAGGGAGCGUUGACGGCGGGACAAGUCUGGAGUGAAAGGCCGGGGCCCAACCCCGGGACUGCACUGGAAACUGUCUGGCUGGAGUACGGGAGAGGUAGGUGGAAUGCGUAGGGUAGCGGUGAAAUGCGUAGAUAUUAGGAGGAACACCAGUGGCGAAGGCAGCUUACUGGACUGUAACUGACGUUGAGGCUCGAAAGCGUGGGGAGCAAACAGGAUUAGAUACCCGGGUAGUC
rnacentral:rRNA from 1 species